rnacentral:rRNA from 1 species
CCCUUAGAUGUUCUGGGCCGCACGCGUGCUACACUGAAUAGUUCAAUGGGUGAGGUAGUGCGAAAGCAUGACCCAAUCUCUAAAUCUAUUCGUGAUGGGGAUAGAAGCUUGCAAUUAUCCUUCUUGAACGAGGAAUACCUUGUAGGCAUAAGUCAUCAUCUUAUGCCGAAUACGUCCCUGCCCUUUGUACACACCGCCCGUCGCUCCUACCGAUUGAAUGGUCCGGUGAAGCGUUCGGACCGUGGCCUUUGGACGGUUCGCCGUCUGUUGGCUGCGGGAAGUUCGUUAAACCUUAUCAUUUAGAGGAAGGAGAAGUCGUAACA